CUACAGAUGGGCGACACCGCACACCCUAUGGAUCACUAAAGAAGGAAAGUUCUACAAAGCUACGGACCCAGCAGACAUUCCCGCAAUACUGGCAGCACUGGACUUACAACCACAACGGGGCCUCGAACACGCAUCACCGGACACACAACCUCUACUGGACACUGACUCAGAUACGUCCUCAUCCGACAUUAGAAGAGACAGGAGGCCAAAGACUUGAAUUAAUCAACACACCUGAGUACCUCAAGUUAUAGGGACAUUCGAGAGACUUUCCUAGCUAUGCCAUGACUUUUAAUUUUUUUUUUUUUUGUUCUGUUUCUGUUUAUGCAAAUCAACACACAAAUUCUUAGCUGCGCACAGAGAUUCAAGGGCACACACAGCGCCCACAGCACGCCCAGGGACUUUCUCCCCCCCCCCUCCCUAUCACACCCAACAUGCCAGAGAGACACGACAAGGGGACAAGGGACCACACAAGGAAGAGGGCCACACACUAAAACUAGGGUCAAGAGCAACUAUCACAUAGGGCUGACAACACAUAGGAACCAAUGCGCCUCAGAUCCAUAAGCACCCAAGAGAAACAAACUCGC